rnacentral:rRNA from 1 species
AGUGAACGCUGGCGGUAGGCCUAACACAUGCAAGUCGAACGGCAGCACAGUAAGAGCUUGCUCUUACGGGUGGCGAGUGGCGGACGGGUGAGGAAUACAUCGGAAUCUACUUUUUCGUGGGGGAUAACGUAGGGAAACUUACGCUAAUACCGCAUACGACCUACGGGUGAAAGCAGGGGAUCUUCGGACCUUGCGCGAUUGAAUGAGCCGAUGUCGGAUUAGCUAGUUGGCGGGGUAAAGGCCCACCAAGGCGACGAUCCGUAGCUGGUCUGAGAGGAUGGACAGCAACACUGGAACAUAGACACGGCGGAGGGGACAACGAAAGACAGCCGAGGGGAAUAUUGAACAAUGGGCGGAAGACUGAAACGACCGUACGUAGAGGGAGAAGACGGCCUACGAGUUGUAAAACCUUUUUAUUGAGAAAAAAAAGCAACCGAGUAAUAACCCGCUGGCGGAGCAGGAAACACAGAAUAAGAAGCGGCUAGCUUCAUG